UAUAGGAGGUCCAACCUGCCCAGUGACUACAAGUUCAACGGCCGCGGUAUUUUGACCGUGCAAAGGUAGCGCAAUCACUUGUCUUUUAAAUAGAGACCUGUAUGAAUGGCCAAACGAAGGCUUAACUGUCUCCCCUUUCAAGUCAGUGAAAUUGAUCUACCCGUGCAGAAGCGGGUAUAAUAAUACAAGACGAGAAGACCCUUUGGAGCUUAAGGUACAAAAUUUAACCACGUCAAGCAACUUAACAAAAAGCAAAAACCUUGUGGAACAUAAAACUUUACCUUCGGUUGGGGCGACCACGGAGUAAAACAAAACCUCCAAGUGGACUGGGAUAAUUUUCCUAAAACCAAGAGAGACAUCUCUAAGCCACAGAACAUCUGACCAAACAUGAUCCGGAUACUAAAACCGAUCAACGAACCAAGUUACCCUAGGGAUAACAGCGCAAUCCUCUCCCAGAGUCCAUAUCGACGAGGGGGUUUACGACCUCGAUGUUGGAUCAGGACACCCUAAUGGUGCAGCCGCUAUUAAGGGUUCGUUUGUUCAACGAUUAAAGUCCUACGUGA
rnacentral:rRNA from 1 species